ensembl:lncRNA novel transcript
GACCUCCUAGCAUAGUGACUUUAAUAAUAACUAGAGAAAUUAUAUAAAAAGUAAUAGAAAAACUAUUUAAUGUUAUAAAAUUACCUUUAAUAUGACGAGAGACAUAUCUCCUUUAUGUCAUUAGAGGGAAAGAAGUACAACCAUACAGUAAAAACAGAAGUGAAAAUGGAGUUUCGCUCUUGUUGCCCAGGCUGGAGUACAAUGGGGAGAUCUCAGCUCACUGUGGCCUCCGCCUCCCAGUUUCAAGCUAUUCUCCUGCCUCAGCCUCCGAGUAGCUGGAAUUACAGAUCAUUUUCAUUCAAAGACUGAUUGAGAAAAUCUCAGAAGAUUAAAGAGAAUAAAGGAUCUGACUUGAAA